GAUGAACGCUAGCGGCAGGCCUAAUACAUGCAAGUCGAACGGGAUUGAGAAGCUUGCUUUUCAUGAGAGUGGCGCACGGGUGCGUAACACGUAUGCAACCUACCUUCAACUGGGGGAUAGCCUUCCGAAAGGGAGAUUAAUACCGCAUAACAUAAUGAAACGGCAUCGUUUUAUUAUCAAAAGUUAGGGUUGAAGAUGGGCAUGCGUCCGAUUAGCUUGUUGGUGAGGUAACGGCUCACCAAGGCGACGAUCGGUAGGGGAUCUGAGAGGAUGACCCCCCACACUGGUACUGAGACACGGACAGACUCCUACGGGAGGCAGCAGUAAGGAAUAUUGGUCAAUGGACGCAAGUCUGAACCAGCCAUGCCGCGUGCAGGAAGACGGUCCUCUGGAUUGUAAACUGCUUUUGUUAGGGAAGAAACCCCUGGAUGCGUCCGGGGCUGACGGUACCUAAAGAAUAAGGAUCGGCUAACUCCGUGCCAGCAGCCGCGGUAAUAC
rnacentral:rRNA from 1 species